GGAGCAUCAAAUCUGUUUCCAUCUAUAUAAAAAUAUUAAUUUUAGGACUUUUUAAACUUCAUCAAAUGUUUUAUAAGUUACACAUUGUGGUAAAAUGGCGAUUAUUUCCGAGAAAUGUGGUUUUAAAUGAUAGAAAUAAGAAAAAUGUGGGCGCUGGUAGCUGGAUCUAAAACAUGGUUGCUAAGUUUUCUAAUAAUCGUUAACUAUUGUUUUCUGUCAUUUACAGACUGAAGUAUUAAUGUCUCCAACACCCAAGAACAACAUGGAAAGGACUGAAGAGAUGAAGUCAAAGCCUGCUGUGCUCGGACCACCUGACUGACAUCUGCCGGUCAUGUUGGAGUUUGACACAAUGCUGUAAAAUCCAGGACUGAAGAGAUGAAGUCAAAGCCUGCCCUGCUCGGACCACCUGACUGACAUCUGCCGGUCAUGUUGGAGUUUGACACAAUGCUGUAAAAUCCAGGACUGAAGAGAUGAAGUCAAACCCUGCUGUGCUCAGACCACCUGACUGACAUCUGCCGGUCAUGUUGGAGUUUGACACAAUGCUGUAAAAUCCAGCUGGUCCUGAUGAAAGGAGUCCUCCAGUAACUCUGUGGGUCAACGUUUGAUGAAGAUGAAGAUACUUCUCCACGGCUGUCUGAUGGUGCUUCAGACUUUUCAAUCGGACACUACUUGAAGUUUCUCCUUUUUUCUUCAUUGUCUUUGUUCUCCGCAGAGUUAAUCUGAAAGUGGGGAAAAAAGCUUAAUUUAAAUAUCUGUAUUUAACCCUGCAGAUGAGUUUUGACAUGUUUGUACCACUGUGUGUAAAAGUUUAAAAGGAAGAGUAAACAUAGAUAUUUCAUUUGAUAUAACAAUGUUAACUGUCACAAAAAGUGUCUUCUGUAAUCGUAAAGAUGCAACAGUAUUUGUGUCUGGGUUUUUGUGAUCACAAUAACAUUUCUGUUACUGGUGAAAAUAUUUUGUAACAUUUGAGGAAAGUGAUGUGAAAAAACAUGAAAUAAACUUAAUC